AUGCAUGUCAUCCCGCACGUGCUAGACUUGGUCAUCUCUGCUCUUGGCUACUCGGUGGAGGGGUUUCCUCGGUACUAUAUGGGGUUACCUCUCUCUUGCGAGAAGCUAAAGCACGUCAACUUCCUUCCGCUCAUCACCAAGGUCAAAAAAUAUCCAGGGCGGAGGGCAUGGACGCUCUCCCCCGACGGUCGUCUCAUCCUCAUCAACGAUGUUUUGGAUGCCCUCCCCACUAACACUAUGGGUGAAAUGAUGCUUCCCCUCGGUUGUUAA
rnacentral:rRNA from 1 species